rnacentral:lncRNA from 1 species
CGCCCCCUUCUCGCGCGUGAGCGCGCCCUAUCGGCUCCUGGCGCGUCAACAUUCCGCGGGCCAGGCCUUGGGGCGCGUCUGAGGAGGGGGAUGUCUGUGGCCUCUCCGCCCACACUUCCUCCACCCACCGCCCACAGCGCCCCAGAAGGACCUAUUACUCGUUUGGCUUCUGAAGGCCGAAGCCAGGCUCUGGCGGGGAUAGAACCCUGAAGGGCCUGCGCCAGCUCCAACUUAGGGCCCUUAUCUUUUGCUGCCUCUUACGUAUUGUAGGCAGUGCCUGAUGGCUGAGAAGAAUCGCAGAGGACUAGAAAAGGUUUGAGUCUGAAAUUAUCUGGCACAGAGGAUUAAAGCUCAGAAAUAAGUGAUUGCGAAACAGUUCAACUUCCCUGUUAAUGACAACAACAACAGCAACACGCUUAUUAAUUCCUAGCUGGAGCAUCAAGCUUAUGAAGAUUUCCAAGACUUUAUUGUUGACCCUUGUUGAAGAGAACUCUACUUGGCUUCUUUCCUGGCUUUCCUAAAUUGUUCACAUACAAGAUAAACUACCGUCAUUCAGACUUACAGAAGUGAGAAGACAAGCUGAACCAAAUGUAAAAUGGUAGCAAUUUACAGAUGUCAGAACUAACAUGUGGAUGAACUUAGAGAUGGAGAAGAAAGCUGGGCUUUUCCAAAGAGUGGAUCUAUCUGAACUGGAUAGCACUAUUGAACUUUGUUGCAUAUUUUGUGGUAGCUCUAAAACUCCUCUGCUUGCUUACAUACAACCAGACACCAGUGCCUUCUGAAGCUAAUCCAGGCCAUUUUUAUAACCUAAUGCAGUAGCACUUUGCAAUUAGAUGAAGAAGAUCGGUGGGAUUUCUUUCUGUGGUGAUUAAAAUGUGUCAGGGGAAGAAAUCAAGACAAUACUCCAAGUGAAAAAUAUAAAGUCAGUUAUUUCUUUAA